rnacentral:tRNA from 1 species
GGGGGAGUGUCCCGAGCCUGGCCAAAGGGGCAGGACUUAAGAUCCUGCGGCUUUGUGCCUUCGAGGGUUCAAAUCCCUCCUCCCCCA